UAGAGUUUGGAUCCUGGCUCAGAUUGAACGCUGGCGGCAGGCCUAACACAUGCAAGUCGAGCGGCAGCGGGACCUUCGGGUUGCCGGCGAGCGGCGGACGGGUGAGUAAUGCCUAGGAAUCUGCCUGUUAGUGGGGGAUAACGCGGGGAAACUCGCGCUAAUACCGCAUACGUCCUACGGGAGAAAGUGGGGGACCUUCGGGCCUCACGCUAACAGAUGAGCCUAGGUCGGAUUAGCUAGUUGGUGGGGUAACGGCCCACCAAGGCGACGAUCCGUAACUGGUCUGAGAGGAUGAUCAGUCACACUGGAACUGAGACACGGUCCAGACUCCUACGGGAGGCAGCAGUGGGGAAUAUUGGACAAUGGGCGAAAGCCUGAUCCAGCCAUGCCGCGUGUGUGAAGAAGGUCUUCGGAUUGUAAAGCACUUUAAGCCGGGAGGAAGGGCUGUAGGCGAAUACCCUGCAGUCUUGACGUUACCGGCAGAAUA
rnacentral:rRNA from 1 species